rnacentral:rRNA from 1 species
UAAGCGUACACGGUGGAUGCCCUGGCAGUCAGAGGCGAUGAAGGACGUGCUAAUCUGCGAUAAGCGUCGGUAAGGUGAUAUGAACCGUUAUAACCGGCGAUUUCCGAAUGGGGAAACCCAGUGUGUUUCGACACACUAUCAUUAACUGAAUCCAUAGGUUAAUGAGGCGAACCGGGGGAACUGAAACAUCUAAGUACCCCGAGGAAAAGAAAUCAACCGAGAUUCCCCCAGUAGCGGCGAGCGAACGGGGAGGAGCCCAGAGCCUGAAUCAGUGUGUGUGUUAGUGGAAGCGUCUGGAAAGGCGCGCGAUACAGGGUGACAGCCCCGUACACAAAAAUGCACAUGCUGUGAGCUCGAUGAGUAGGGCGGGACACGUGGUAUCCUGUCUGAAUAUGGGGGGACCAUCCUCCAAGGCUAAAUACUCCUGACUGACCGAUAGUGAACCAGUACCGUGAGGGAAAGGCGAAAAGAACCCCGGCGAGGGGAGUGAAAAAGAACCUGAAACCGUGUACGUACAAGCAGUGGGAGCACAGAGCAAUCUGUGUGACUGCGUACCUUUUGUAUAAUGGGUCAGCGACUUAUAUUCUGUAGCAAGGUUAACCGAAUAGGGGAGCCGAAGGGAAACCGAGUCUUAACUGGGCGUUAAGUUGCAGGGUAUAGACCCGAAACCCGGUGAUCUAGCCAUGGGCAGGUUGAAGGUUGGGUAACACUAACUGGAGGACCGAACCGACUAAUGUUGAAAAAUUAGCGGAUGACUUGUGGCUGGGGGUGAAAGGCCAAUCAAACCGGGAGAUAGCUGGUUCUCCCCGAAAGCUAUUUAGGUAGCGCCUCGUGAAUUCAUCUCCGGGGGUAGAGCACUGUUUCGGCAAGGGGGUCAUCCCGACUUACCAACCCGAUGCAAACUGCGAAUACCGGAGAAUGUUAUCACGGGAGACACACGGCGGGUGCUAACGUCCGUCGUGAAGAGGGAAACAACCCAGACCGCCAGCUAAGGUCCCAAAGUCAUGGUUAAGUGGGAAACGAUGUGGGAAGGCCCAGACAGCCAGGAUGUUGGCUUAGAAGCAGCCAUCAUUUAAAGAAAGCGUAAUAGCUCACUGGUCGAGUCGGCCUGCGCGGAAGAUGUAACGGGGCUAAACCAUGCACCGAAGCUGCGGCAGCGACGCUGAUGCGUUGUUGGGUAGGGGAGCGUUCUGUAAGCCUGUGAAGGUGUGCUGUGAGGCAUGCUGGAGGUAUCAGAAGUGCGAAUGCUGACAUAAGUAACGAUAAAGCGGGUGAAAAGCCCGCUCGCCGGAAGACCAAGGGUUCCUGUCCAACGUUAAUCGGGGCAGGGUGAGUCGACCCCUAAGGCGAGGCCGAAAGGCGUAGUUGAUGGGAAACAGGUUAAUAUUCCUGUACUUGGUGUUACUGCGAAGGGGGGACGGAGAAGGCUAUGUUGGCCGGGCGACGGUUGUCCCGGUUUAAGCGUGUAGGCUGGUUUUCCAGGCAAAUCCGGAAAACUAAGGCUGAGGCGUGAUGACGAGGCACUACGGUGCUGAAGCAACAAAUGCCCUGCUUCCAGGAAAAGCCUCUAAGCAUCAGGUAACAUCAAAUCGUACCCCAAACCGACACAGGUGGUCAGGUAGAGAAUACCAAGGCGCUUGAGAGAACUCGGGUGAAGGAACUAGGCAAAAUGGUGCCGUAACUUCGGGAGAAGGCACGCUGAUAUGUAGGUGAAGUCCCUCGCGGAUGGAGCUGAAAUCAGUCGAAGAUACCAGCUGGCUGCAACUGUUUAUUAAAAACACAGCACUGUGCAAACACGAAAGUGGACGUAUACGGUGUGACGCCUGCCCGGUGCCGGAAGGUUAAUUGAUGGGGUCAGCGCAAGCGAAGCUCUUGAUCGAAGCCCCGGUAAACGGCGGCCGUAACUAUAACGGUCCUAAGGUAGCGAAAUUCCUUGUCGGGUAAGUUCCGACCUGCACGAAUGGCGUAAUGAUGGCCAGGCUGUCUCCACCCGAGACUCAGUGAAAUUGAACUCGCUGUGAAGAUGCAGUGUACCCGCGGCAAGACGGAAAGACCCCGUGAACCUUUACUAUAGCUUGACACUGAACAUUGAGCCUUGAUGUGUAGGAUAGGUGGGAGGCUUUGAAGUGUGGACGCCAGUCUGCAUGGAGCCGACCUUGAAAUACCACCCUUUAAUGUUUGAUGUUCUAACGUUGACCCGUAAUCCGGGUUGCGGACAGUGUCUGGUGGGUAGUUUGACUGGGGCGGUCUCCUCCUAAAGAGUAACGGAGGAGCACGAAGGUUGGCUAAUCCUGGUCGGACAUCAGGAGGUUAGUGCAAUGGCAUAAGCCAGCUUGACUGCGAGCGUGACGGCGCGAGCAGGUGCGAAAGCAGGUCAUAGUGAUCCGGUGGUUCUGAAUGGAAGGGCCAUCGCUCAACGGAUAAAAGGUACUCCGGGGAUAACAGGCUGAUACCGCCCAAGAGUUCAUAUCGACGGCGGUGUUUGGCACCUCGAUGUCGGCUCAUCACAUCCUGGGGCUGAAGUAGGUCCCAAGGGUAUGGCUGUUCGCCAUUUAAAGUGGUACGCGAGCUGGGUUUAGAACGUCGUGAGACAGUUCGGUCCCUAUCUGCCGUGGGCGCUGGAGAACUGAGGGGGGCUGCUCCUAGUACGAGAGGACCGGAGUGGACGCAUCACUGGUGUUCGGGUUGUCAUGCCAAUGGCACUGCCCGGUAGCUAAAUGCGGAAGAGAUAAGUGCUGAAAGCAUCUAAGCACGAAACUUGCCCCGAGAUGAGUUCUCCCUGACUCCUUGAGAGUCCUGAAGGAACGUUGAAG